UACAUAGAAUACAAACGUUAAUCGGAAUUACUGAGCGUAAAAUAUGCGCAAAUGGCCGCGCAUAUCGAAUAUGAAAUCCCCAAGCUUAACUUGGGAAUUGCACUCGAAACUACAUGGCUAGAAUGUGGCAGAGGAAGAUGGAAUUCCACGUAUAACAAUGAAAUGCAUAGAGAUAUGGAGGAACACCGAUAGCGAAAACAGCCUUCUGAGCCAACACUAACGCUCAUGCACGAAAGCAUGGGGAGCAAACAGG
rnacentral:rRNA from 1 species